rnacentral:snoRNA from 1 species
CUGGAAUGAGGAGAUUCCACUUCACUGGUCCAUGUUUCUGAAACGCAUGAUUUUGUGGAAAUUCUGACUUA